rnacentral:rRNA from 1 species
ACUACGGGAGGCAGCAGUAGGGAAUCUUUCACAAUGGGCGAAAGCCUGAUGGAGCAACGCCGCGUGCAGGAUGAAGGCCUUCGGGUUGUAAACUGCUUUUAUAAGCGAGAAAUAUGAUGGUAACUUAUGAAUAAGGAUCGGCUAACUACGUGACAGCAGCCGCGGUCAUACGAAGGAUCCGAGCAUUAUCCGGAGUGACGGGGGGUAAAGAGUUUCGUAUGUGGCAUAAUAAGUAGCUGGUGAAAUCUGGUGGCUAAACAAUUCAGACUAUUAGCUAAACUGUUAAGCUCGAGACCGUUAGGGGUAAGUGGAAUUUCUAGUGUAGGAGUGAAAUCCGUAGAUAUUAGAAGGAACACCAAUAGCGUAGGCAGGUUGCUGGGACGGUUCUGACACUAAGGCACGAAAGCGUAGGGAGCAAACGGGAUUAGAUACCCCUGUAGUC